AACGUACCCAAGAGUGGGGGAUAACGUAGCGAAAGUUACGCUAAUACCGCAUACGAUCUAAGGAUGAAAGCAGGGGACCGCAAGGCCUUGUGCUCCUGGAGCGGCCGAUAUCUGAUUAGCUAGUUGGUAGGGUAAAGGCCUACCAAGGCUACGAUCAGUAGCUGGUCUGAGAGGACGACCAGCCACACUGGAACUGAGACACGGUCCAGACUCCUACGGGAGGCAGCAGUGGGGAAUUUUGGACAAUGGGCGCAAGCCUGAUCCAGCAAUGCCGCGUGAGUGAAGAAGGCCUUCGGGUUGUAAAGCUCUUUUGUCAGGGAAGAAACGGUGAGGGCUAAUAUCCUUCACUAAUGACGGUACCUGAAGAAUAAGCACCGGCUAACUACGUGCCAGCAGCCGCGGUAAUACGUAGGGUGCAAGCGUUAAUCGGAAUUACUGGGCGUAAAGCGUGCGCAGGCGGUUUUGUAAGUCUGUCGUGAAAUCCCCGGGCUCAACCUGGGAAUUGCGAUGGAGACUGCAAGGCUAGAAUCUGGCAGAGGGGGGUAGAAUUCCACGUGUAGCAGUGAAAUGCGUAGAGAUGUGGAGGAACACCGAUGGCGAAGGCAGCCCCCUGGGUCAAGAUUGACGCUCAUGCACGAAAGCGUGGGGAGCAAACAGGAUUAGAUACCCUGGUAGUCCACGCCCUAAACGAUGUCUACUAGUUGUCGGGUUUUAAUUAACUUGGUAACGCAGCUAACGCGUGAAGUAGACCGCCUGGGGAGUACGGUCGCAAGAUUAAAACUCAAAGGAAUUGACGGGGACCCGCACAAGCGGUGGAUGAUGUGGAUUAAUUCGAUGCAACGCGAAAAACCUUACCUACCCUUGA
rnacentral:rRNA from 1 species